CUCCUGUUACCCAUUCCCUGAUUGCUCCCUCUGUGUAUUUAAGCCCUGUGUUUUUCUGUGUCCGUGUCGUGAUCUACCCUUAUCCACCCUCUUCUUCCUGUGUGUUCUGUCUGCGUAAGUUUAUUUGCAAGUUUGUUACCUUUUGAGUUUAGCAAUAAAUCUGAGUUUGAGUUACUUUCCACCUCCGAGUGUCUGCACCUUGGGUCCUUUUCCUGCCUGCACACAGCCGUUACAUAACAGGAGGUGGCAGUAUCAUAGUUUGGGGAUGCUUAUCUGAGGCACCACCUGGCCAGCUCACCAUCAUAGAAUCCAUCAUGAAGUCUACUAUGUGUCAGAGGGUGGGUGAAGAACAUAUGAGGAGUGUGGCAAACUUCUGAUCUUCUGAUCGAUGUUAGAAACUGGUAAAAGGCUACAAAAGGUGCCUUACUGAAGUUAUAUCAGCCAAAGGUGGCAACACUAGUUAUUAGGGGGGGUAGAGUAGCCAAACUUUUUCCUCCAUUAAAAUACACAUUUUUGUUCUUUUUUUUUUUUGUGUGUGUGUGUAAAAAAAAAAAAAAAUUUUGUUUAAUUGCAAUUAAGUCGCUUACUUUUCCAGUAAUACAUGAAAACAUGAUUGGACAGUGAUAUGUGGACAUUUCUUAAUAAAGAGCUGAUUAUUUAAUUAUUUUUUAAUUUUCUCACAUGACUGUUGUAAAAGUACCAGACACACACGAUCAUUGUGCUCACUAUUAUUGCGUUUUCUUGACAGUUGUGAACUCAAGGAAAACAGUCUGUUCCAGUCCAGCUCUCUCUCUCCCCGCUCGACUCUGGCUUCACUAUAUAGAGAAAUAGAAAGAGACUCCAUCAUCAGUCAAUCACCACCACCUGUGCUCACCUGCUUCCCGGUACUGAUCCCUUGAGCUCACUGCACCACUCCUCCCCUGCAGCUGCACCAGGGACCACACCUCAGCCACAACUGUAUUUCUUGUGUAACAAUUGUAAAAGAUCAUUUUUUUUAUUUGCUUGGAUGAAUCCGUCAUUUCAGUACAUCUUUAUUGUCUUCAUUAUCUUUUUUUUUUCAACACUUAUUGGUUCCACAAUAAGUGGAACCAUGCUGAAGGUAUUUCUGCUUGGAUGCUUCCUAUGCCUCACUCCAGUUCAACCAAUUGUCAAUGUGUAUGAAAAGUAUGGUGGCUCUCACCACGGCUGAUAUGAGAUCACCAACAACAACAAUAUUUCCCUGCAGCAACUUCUCUCUGUCCUCCUACAAGCACCUGCUAAAACCACUACAACAGCUGCACCCACUACAACUCCCUGAAAUCUGAAAGGAAACCAAAAAUCGAGCCAGCAUUGCAUUUUUAGCGACAGCACAAUAAAUGCAAU